rnacentral:rRNA from 1 species
AAUAGAUACCCGGGUAGUCCACGCUGUAAACGAUGAGAACUAGAUGUUGGGAGGGUUUAGCCUCUCAGUGUCGCAGCUAACGCGCUAAGUUCUCCGCCUGGGGAGUACGGUCGCAAGACUAAAACUCAAAGGAAUUGACGGGGACCCGCACAAGCGGUGGAGCAUGUGGUUUAAUUCGAUGCAACGCGAAGAACCUUACCUGGUCUUGACAUCCCGGGAACCCCGCAGAGAUGUGGGGGUGCCUUCGGGAACCCGGAGACAGGUGCUGCAUGGCUGUCGUCAGCUCGUGUCGUGAGAUGUUGGGUUAAGUCCCGCAACGAGCGCAACCCUUGUCCGUAGUUGCCAUCAUUCAGUUGGGCACUCUACGGAGACCGCCGGUGACAAAUCGGAGGAAGGUGGGGACGACGUCAAGUCAUCAUGGCCCUUAUGACCAGGGCUACACACGUGCUACAAUGGCCGGUACAGAGGGUUGCCAACCCGCAAGGGGGAGCUAAUCCCAGAAAACCGGUCGUAGUCCGGAUCGGAGUCUGCAACUCGACU